UACGUAGGGGGCAAGCGUUGUCCGGAAUCAUUGGGCGUAAAGCGCGUGUAGGCGGCUCGAUAAGUCUGCUGUGAAAGUCCAGGGCUCAACCCUGGGAUGCCGGUGGAUACUGUCGGGCUAGAGUGCGGAAGAGGCGAGUGGAAUUCCCGGUGUAGCGGUGAAAUGCGCAGAUAUCGAGAGGAACACCUGCGGCGAAGGCGGGUUGCUGGGCUGAUACUGACGCUGAGGCGCGAAAGCCAGGGGAGCGAACGGG
rnacentral:rRNA from 1 species